rnacentral:rRNA from 1 species
AACGAACGCUGGCGGCAGGCUUAACACAUGCAAGUCGAACGCACCUUUCGGGGUGAGUGGCACUCGGGUGAGUAACGCGUGGGAAUCUACCCUUCUCUACGGGAUAGUUCCGGUAAACUGGAAUUAAUACCGUAUACGUCCUGCGGGAGAAAGAUUUAUCGUGCAAGGAUGAGCCCGCGUUGGUUUAGCUGGUUGGUGGGGUAAAGGCCUACCAAGGCGACGAUCCAUAGCUGGUCUAAGAGGAUGAUCAGCCACAUUGGGACUGGGACACGGCCCAAACUCCUACGGGAGGCAGGAGUGGGGAAUAUUGGACAAUGGGCGCAAGCCUGAUCCAGCCAGGCCGCGUGAGUGAUGAAGGCCCUAGGGUUGUAAAGCUCUUUCAGUGGGGACGAUAAUGACGGUACCCACAGAAGAAGCCCCGGCUAACUUCGUG